rnacentral:misc_RNA from 1 species
ACACCUCAACUCUCAUGGUUCGCCAUGCUGGGUUGGACUUUGGGGGCCUUGCUGGCUUGUGGUAGUCAGCUCCUCUCAAAUGGAUCAGCUUGCCAGUGUUUGGUGGUGAUGCGGGUGUGAUAACUAUCUACGCUUGUGGCUCCCCACCAGGUAACUUUCAGUGAUGGAAGUUCGCUGGAGCUAAUAAAUGUCUCUCCUUGGUGGAGACAGCUCUUUGAAU